rnacentral:rRNA from 1 species
UACGUAGGUGGCAAGCGAUACUCGGAAUCACUAGGCGUAAAGCGCAGGUAGGCGGUUUGGUAAGUCUUUUGUGAAAGCUCCCGGCUCAACUGGGAGAGGCCAAGGGAAACUACCGGACUAGAGUCCGGUAGGGGAGUGUGGAAUUCCUGGUGUAGCGGUGAAAUGCGCAGAUAUCAGGAGGAACACCAACGGCGAAGGCAGCACUCUGGGCCGGAACUGACGCUGAGGAGCGAAAGCGUGGGUAGCGAACAGG